AGAUCCUGCCUACGAUCAAGAAACUCAAGAGCAACAGAAACAUGUAGCUCUUACUCAGCAAGAGCAAUUCAGGAGUAUUACAGUAUUAAAAUACCACUGACAUGAUGGCAAGUAGUUCACAGCCACGGAAACGAAAGGCAUGGACAGUCAAAAAAAAAUUGGAAGCUUUGGCGAGACUGAAAAUAGGAAUGAGCCAAACAAAAGUCUCAAAAGAACUAGGAGUGAGGGAUAUCAACAUUAAGAGGGUGGAUCAAAAUUACAAUCAAUGCUUGUUGAACUGGUUGAAAAUGAAGGCCUGGAAAGGAAGCACCUAAAAACUGCUCAGGAUAACCAACUAGAUAGAACAGUAUUUACGUGGUUUACCGAAGAAAUGCUCUGAAGGCACGCCAAUUUCUGGUGACAUUAUGAGGAAACAAGCGGAGAAACUGAAGAAGGAUCUCUAUUUUAGAUGCUCGGGCUAGGACAUUUCUGCACAUCAAGGGAUUGUCCAUUUUGGCCGAUGUACAUAGCAGAGGGGCAUUGCUGGCACAUGAUGGCGUAUAUUAU